UUAGUGGUAAAAUUAGCCUUCCAAG
rnacentral:tRNA from 1 species